rnacentral:misc_RNA from 1 species
AGAAAUAAGAAAAAAUAUAUUUGCCUCGGUUAAUGGACAAAUGAGCAAGGACAAACAGGACUUCAGUGUUCAAUCCGAGUUUGCUGCAGCUCUCACUAAUCCAGGUGGGCCCACUUAUGCGGUUGGUCUUGAUGUACAAUCUGCUAAUAAAGAGCUGAUCUGCACUAUCCACAGUAAUGCAAAGGUAAGAACUUUAAGAACUAAUGUCGCUGAAUGCGGUAUUUCUGUAAUACCAUUCGGGGAUAAGUAUUUUCUUGGUGCCAAGUGUGAAGACAGUUUUACAAUUGGAAAGAGACUGAAGUUUAAUGUGAACGCUGGUCGGAUG